rnacentral:tRNA from 1 species
GUGUACUUAGCUCAAUGGUUAGAGCAUCACUCAUGAAUGCUGAGUAUGUGAGUUCAGCUCUCACAGUACACG